rnacentral:lncRNA from 1 species
GUUCACAGUGCAGAGCACCACCGGCCACUGCGUCCACAUGAGAGGGCUGCCCUACAAAGCAACGGAGAGCGACAUUUACAACUUCUUCUCUCCACUCAACCCUGUGAGAGUUCAUAUUGAGAUUGGUCCUGAUGGAAGAGUGACCGGAGAAGCUGAUGCUGAGUUUGCUACUCAUGAAGAAGCAGUGGCAGCCAUGUCCAAGGACAGGGCCAAAUGCAGCACAGAUACAUACAACUCUUCCUGAAUUCAACAACAGGAGCUAGCAGUGGGGCCUAGUGCAGCCAGGUGAUGCAGGCAUGGGUGUGUCAGCUGCCCAGGCAACUUACAGUGGCCUGGAGAGCCAGUCAGUGAGUGGCUGUUACGGGGCCGGCUACAGCGGUCAGAACAGCAUGGGUGGAUAUGAUGAGUAUUGUAGGAACAUUUGGGUUAUUUCAAUCAGAAAAUUUCACAGGCAGCCAAUAAACAGUCAAGAGCAGUUUAUAACUCUAGAGGAAGCUUGGGGGACCCACUUUGCACCAUGAGUUUGUGAAAUCUGGAUUAAAAAAUUACCUCUUCAGUGUUUCUCAUGCAAACUUUUCUUCUAGAAUGUAAUAUUGAGUAAACUAAAAACAUGUUUUCUUCCGCUUUUCUCAAUUAACAUUUUUGGUAGUAUACUUAAGAGUGAUGUUAUCUGAGUUAAGUAGUUUAAGUAUGUUGAGUGGAUCUUUCAGCACACCACAGUGAACACACUGGGGGCAUGUACUUUUCUGGAGAACUCAAGGUGCUAGAUCCCUGAUACAAAGAGAAGCAUUUCUCAUGUUCAUUCUAGUUUAUAUUUUCAUUUAAAAUCUUUAGGUUAAGUUUAAGCUUUUUAAAAGUUAGUUUUGAGAAUUGAGACACAAUACUAAUACUGUAGGAAUUGGUGAGGCCUUGACUUAAAGCUUUCUUUGUACUGUGAUUUCCUUUUGGGUGUAUUUUGCUAAGUGAAACUUGUUAAAUUUUUUGUUAACUAAAUUUUUUUCUUAAAAUAAAGACUUUUUCACAAUGAAAAAAAAAAAAAAAAAGAGGAG